GAUGAAGAACGUAGCGAAAUGCGAUAAGUAAUGUGAAUUGCAGAAUUCAGUGAAUCAUCGAAUCUUUGAACGCACCUUGCGCCCUUUGGCUAUUCUGAAGGGCAUGCCUGUUUGAGUAUCAUGAACACCUCAACUCUCAUGGUUUGCCAUGAUGAGCUUGGACUUUGGGGGUCUUGCUGGCCUACGGUCGGCUCCUCUCAAAUGAAUCAGCUUGCCAGUGUUUGGUGGCAUCACGGGUGUGAUAACUAUCUACGCUUGUGGUUUCCCACCAGGUAACCUUCAGUGAUGGAGGUUCGCUGGGGCUCAUAAAUGUCCCUCCACAGUGAGGACAGCUUUUGAACGUUUGAUCUCAAAUCAGGUAGGACUACCCGCUGAACUUAAGCAUAUCAAUAAGCGAGGA
rnacentral:misc_RNA from 1 species